rnacentral:piRNA from 1 species
UGUGACCCGCGAAUAUUGUUGCCUUGGAA